GAUGAACGCUGGCGGCGUGCUUAACACAUGCAAGUCGAACGAUGAAGCCCAGCUUGCUGGGUGGAUUAGUGGCGAACGGGUGAGUAACACGUGAGUAACCUGCCCUUAACUCUGGGAUAAGCCUGGGAAACUGGGUCUAAUACCGGAUAGGAGCGCCUACCGCAUGGUGGGUGUUGGAAAGAUUUAUCGGUUUUGGAUGGACUCGCGGCCUAUCAGCUUGUUGGUGAGGUAAUGGCUCACCAAGGCGACGACGGGUAGCCGGCCUGAGAGGGUGACCGGCCACACUGGGACUGAGACACGGCCCAGACUCCUACGGGAGGCAGCAGUGGGGAAUAUUGCACAAUGGGCGAAGGCCUGAUGCAGCGACGCCGCGUGAGGGAUGACGGCCUUCGGGUUGUAAACCUCUUUCAGUAGGGAAGAAGCGAAAGUGACGGUACCUGCAGAAGAAGCACCGGCUAACUACGUG
rnacentral:rRNA from 1 species